rnacentral:rRNA from 1 species
UCCUACGGGGCGCAGCAGUAGGGAAUCUUCCACAAUGGACGAAAGUCUGAUGGAGCAACGCCGCGUGAGUGAAGAAGGGUUUCGGCUCGUAAAGCUCUGUUGGUAGUGAAGAAAGAUGGAGGUAGUAACUGGCCUUUAUUUGACGGUAAUUACUUAGAAAGUCACGGCUAAAUAAGUGCCAGCAGCCGCGGGAAUACGUAGGGGGCAAGCGUUGUCCGGAUUUAUUGGGCGGAAAGCGGGUGCAGGCGG